GACGAACCGAGCGAACGUUAUUCGGAAUCACUGGGCUUAAAGGGCGCGUAGGCGGGCCUGCAAGUCAGGGGUGAAAGCCCCCAGCUCAACUGGGGAAGUGCCUCUGAUACUGCCGGCCUCGAGGGAGGUAGGGGCGUGCGGAACUUCCGGUGGAGCGGUGAAAUGCGUAGAUAUCAGGAGGAACACCGGUGGUGUAGACGGAUUACUGGACCACGACUGACGCUGAGGCACGAAAGCGUGGGUAGCAAACAGG
rnacentral:rRNA from 1 species